rnacentral:rRNA from 1 species
CCCUUAGAUGUUCUGGGCCGCACGCGCGCUACACUGACCAGUGCAACAAGCAUCCGUCCUUGGCCGACAGGCCCGGGCAAUCUUUGAACGCUGGUCGUGAUGGGGAUAGACUUUUGCAAUUUUUGGUCUUCAACGAGGAAUUCCUAGUAAACGCAAGUCAUCAACUUGCAUUGAUUACGUCCCUGCCCUUUGUACACACCGCCCGUCGCACCUACCGAUUGAAUGGUCCGGUGAAAUCUCCGGACUGGUGUGAGUCGGAGCAAUCUGACAAACACCGGAAAGUUGAUUAAACCUUACCAUUUAGAGGAAGGUGAAGUCGUANCA